CCCUGUAUUCGAAAGUGAUCAUGGGCUACCCGUGCCCUGGUCAUUGAUAGUGCAGGGAGAGGAAUUGCUGAAAGCGUUUCCCCGUGUUUGGAGG